rnacentral:rRNA from 1 species
AUGUGUGCUCCAAACAGGGACAAUCACCUUGUAACUGCUAAAGUGAUUGCUAGAAGAUAUGAGGAUAUCUUAAGGGCCAACCCCACUUGGAAGAUUGACAGCAUUAAGGCCACUGUUUUGAAGGAUUUCUUUGCUGAUGUAUCAACAUCAAAGUGUAAGGCUGCAAAGAAGAUAGUGUCACAGAAGCUAUUAGAAGGGAUGAAAGAGGAGUACACUAAGGUCUUUGACUACCAGCUAGAAUUGCUGAGAAGCAAUCCUGGCAGUACCAUACUUGUUGGAUUGGAUCCUGAAUAUAUGGACCAAAAUAUAUUCCAGAGAUUCUAUGUGUGUUUCAAUGCUAUGAAAAAGGGUUUUAAAGCAUGUAGAAGGGUGAUUGGCCUUGAUGGUUGCUUCUUUAAAGGAGCAUGUCAAGGUGAGCUCCUUUGUGCUGUUGGUAGGGAUGCUAACAACCAAAUGUACCCAAUUGCUUGGGCAAUAGUAGAGCAAGAAACAACAAAAAGUUGGGAAUGGUUUAUUGGACUUCUUAUCAAAGACUUGGACAUAAAAAAUCAAGGUGAAGGCUGGGUGUUCAUUUCUGAUCAAUAAAAGGGUUUAAUCAGCAGCAUGCAAGAUUAUCUUCCAAAGGCACAACACAGGAUGUGUGCUAGACACAUAUAUGCUAACUGGAGAAAAAAUCAUAGAGAGCAUGCUCUACAGAAGAAGUUUUGGGCUAUAGCAAAGGCUGCAAACAGAGAAGAUUUCAUGUAUAGAAAAGCAAAGUUAGCUCAAGACACACCUGAAGGGGCAAUGGACAUAAUGAAAACAGAGCCUAAGCAUUGGGCAAGAGCUUUUUUCCCCGUUGGUUCGCUAUGUGACUCAGUGGACAAUAACCUCUGUGAGUCAUUCAACAAUGCAAUCAUUGAGGCCAGAUUCUAUCCUUGCAUAUCUAUGUUGGAAAAGGUUAGACAGAAAAUGACAAAGAGGGUACAAGAAAACAGAGAAAAAUCUAAGAAGUGGACUAACAAUCCAAUUUGCCCAAAUAUCUUUAAAAACCUUAAGGUGAACAUCAAAUUGACUCAAUUUUGUGAUGUGCUCUGGAAUGGGAAAGAGGGAUUUGAGGUUAAGCAUGUCAAUGGAAGAGGAAGGACCUAUACAGUAAAUUUAGAGAAGAGGACAUGCUCUUGUGGGUACUUACAGCUUGCAGGCCUGCCUUGCUGCCAUGAUAUAAGUGCUAUAUAUAAGUCUGGUAGAAGAAUUGAAGAUUUUAUUGACAAGUGUUACUCAGUUGAGCAGUUCAAGAAAAUGUAUGAGCAUUGUUUGCAACCAGUUGAAGGUGAGGAAAGGUGGCCUAUUUCUCAGAAUCCCAGACAACAAGCUCCAGGAUAUGUUAGCAUGCCUGGUAGGCCUAGGAAGAAUGACAGGAGGAGGGAAGAAGGAGAAGCACCAAAAGGAAAGAAGAUGUCAAAACAUGUGAUUAAGAUAACUUGCAGUAUGUGUAGCAGCAAAGGCCACAAUAAGAUAGGUUGCCACAAAAAUCCAGAAAAAGGGAAGAAAAAGAAUGCCUUUUGA